UCUCAUUUCCAAUGGCAAGGGAGUCGUCUUAUUAUCUUUGCUUCUUGUUGUGUGGUGUAAUAAUUUAAAAUUGUUUAAAUUUGAAAAAAUUUUAAAAUGCCACGAAUUCGAAAAUGUUGUGUGCGUGGGUGUAAUAACGAUAACAAAAAGUGCAAUGUGUUCAUUUGGCCGAAAAAUGAUAAAAUCGCAAGGAAGUGGUGUCGAAAUCUAGGCUUCGAGGGAAGAAAAAUAGCCACCACAAACACGUUUGUUUGUGAAAUGCAUUUUGAGGAUUAUGCACUAGGGGCUAAGAGAUUAAAAAUUGGAGCUGUUCCUACUCUAAAACUUGGAAAAUCUGAUGAUGCUGUUUACUUGUCAAUAAAGAAGAGUAAUGAAGUACGGACCUGCUGUGCUAAGGGAUGUCCAUCGGAUGAAAAAGGCAUACUUUUUGCAUUCCCCGAUGAUGAGAUUGACUUCGAUAACUGGGUUUUAGCGUUAAAAAUAAGUACAUCAUACUCCGACCGAAGAAAGUUAUUUAUUUGUGACCGUCAUUUUGAUGUGGACUCUAUUAUAAAUAAGAAACUUAAGGAAGGAGCUAUUCCGAAGCAUAAUUUAUUUUAUGAAACUGUAGGUAAUUGUAGCAGCUUUUCUUCGAAUAGAGUCCUUCAACCUACUAAACGUCAGUAGUCAUAUACUAAUCAGAAAGGAUAGGGGAAUACUUAAGUUUGGAGGACUUCCAAUUAUAUUGGGAUCUCGAGGUGAAACGUUAACAAUACAAUGUUUCCUCCAGCCUUGAUUCCUCAAAAUGUGUCCAAGAAUCUUGCGCAUGGAUUGCGCGAGCUUGUCAGCAGAGUGCUGAUAAGCAAAAUCAACGCAUAAAUGCGCUCAGGUAGGAGAACAGGAUUUUAAAACAAGAAUUAUUUGUGGAAUUGGGCAAUUAUUACAUCCAAAAAUUGCUGAUGAGAAUGCAAUAAGUCUUGGUAGAAAGAGUGUGAAUUCAUAAAGUACAUAAACUGAAGAUUAGAACAAUUUAGCGCAUUUAAAUAAUUUAAAAUGUCUAGGAAAUCUUCAAGCACAAACCAAUCUGUGCAAUACUAAUCGACGAAAUUGUAAUUAAAACAUUUUUUUUAAUAAAAGUAAUGUCAUCGACGUUUUCGUUAACAAAGGGGACGGGGAAAAAGGAAUUAAAUGCAGCCGACAAAUGCAGUUUUUUCUAUGUUAGCCUACGUGAAAAGUUCUUUGCCUAUAUGACUAUUGCCAUUUGGUUAAGUCGGUUAGGAAAAAUUUCUUAAAGGAAGACUUUAAAAUUAUCGGUGCAUGCAAUCGAUGGUGGGAGUUAUAAUUGUAAAAUAUGUCUGUAGUUGAGAUGCUCCCACAAUGUGGAACCCACAUAUGUAUGUAUGUAUAUAUGUAUGUAUAUCCCAGUAAUUAAAAAAAUGGUCCUUUCAAGAUGGCAUCGACAUGGAAUUCAGGCAGGGAUUAUUACGUAUUAUUCAAAUGCGCCAAAGUGACAUACAUACUUUUGUAAUUGUUUGUGAAGGGCAUGAACGACUUAAUCGUGGAUAGAACUAAAAAAUACUUUAGCGGAAUGGUUUUUAGAAACUCUUUAAUGCCUAAACUAUCGACAAGAACUAUUAAAAUCUUUAGCAACAGUACUCUUAUUUAAAAAUGAGAAAUGGUUGGUUGAAGAAAAGCUGCAAGAAAACAUUUACCUACUUUAGAAUAAUAAAUUAAAAAAUUUAACAAAAGCAACGGGAUUAUGUAGUACUUAUUUUGGAUUAAUGGCACUAAGUACAAGGCGCGUGUUUGUAUGUGCUGCCUUCAUAAAUACAGUUUGCACAAAUACGUUUUUUUCCUUGCGUAACAGUUGUUUAAUUUGUUAUGCUUUGAUUUUUUGACGGUAGAAAUAACGGACACAACGACGUACAUAUGUAAUGAUAAAAAGCGCAACCACGAAAGAAAUAUUAUUUAAUGGAAGCAGAGUUUAGUGCCAAAAAAUGAAAAGUAAGACGAGUUGAACGAAUACAUACAUAUGUACAUAUGUAUAUUACGUGACUUUAAGAAAAUUGGAAACAAAAUUCCAUUUUAACGGGAUCCGUCAAAUUGGGGUAUUUUUUAAAAAGUUAGAUGAGAUCUACGGCAGCCGCAGGUGUCUAGUGAAAUUAUCAGAAAUUCGUUGUGGAAUAUUUAAUAAACGAGGAACCAGUGGCAUCCACCGAUAAUCAAUCUGACAUUAAACCUUCGAAUAUCACCACUCCGAGAAGUAUUUUUUACUAGCGAUCUUGAACGGCGGCAAUCCCUCCAUAUAUGUUUGGUAUAAUUUCAAUCUGUCCGUUCCAGUCAUUCCAAUUGCAAAACGUCGAAACCUUCCCGAUACCAGCGGAAGUUUGGUAGGAGAGCGGUUCUCAAAUUUCCAGUGACUGGAGAGUUGGACAUCUCUUUACCUUUGAUCAUGAAGUGCUCAACACAUAGAGCGCGACAGACUGCAAGCGACAUCUAUCAAAUAUUAAAAUACACACGUUCCUAUAAGCACAGUUGUUUAGACAGCUGCACGACUACACGACAUCUGGUUCUCAGUUGUCGCUCUCACUAAUUUUAAAAUAUUUUUAAACAGAGAUAAAGAGAUGUUUAACUCCUCUCUCACUGGAAGUGAGAGAGCAAUUGAUAAACGGCAAAACCUACUGAACUCGAUUAGCUGUCACAGUUCAGUAGGUUUCGACGUUUAGCAAUUGGAAAAGAGGGACGACCAGAUUAAAAUCCCGCCAAAUUAUUAUUCGAAUGUAGACAUUUUUCACUUUUUUGUCUCCAUUUGUAACGGCCAUUAUUUCGAAGAAUACCGAAUGCGAAACAGCAUGCAGAUUGAAAGCUACAAAAUGCCGAAAACAACCAGCAGUUGGAAGAAAUGUGUUGCUGGCUGCAGCGAGGGAGGCAGAAUAUUCAGUUUUCCGAACAGUGGAACGGAUCUCGAACCGGAUGUAUCUUCGCAACGAAUAAUUAAUGAAGCUCUUCCUGUGCGGAAUUUAGGAUUUGACGAAAGUAGCCAGCAGUCAUCGCAGUGGGUUUUGCCGCCAGUUUUAAAAACAUACGAUGCUAAAAAAACCGAUAUUUUAGAACCUGAUGAUAUGUCAGUUGGAAAUCCAAAUGACAUACUCAUCAUUCGAAGAAUUUGAGAAAUAUUCAUGCCUUCAUGAAAUAGAAAUGAAGUGCAACGACGAAAAGAAUAUUUCUGUUUGCGACCACGGGCAUUACGCUCGAGUAGCUAGGCGGUUUCAAAAUAAUGCUUUGAAACAACCCAAAAAAACUAAAGAGCUGAAAAGAAGAAUUUUUUUAUUACGCUCGAGUAGCUAGGCGGUUUCAAAAUAAUGCUUUGAAACAAGCCAAAAAAAUUAAAGAGCUGUAAAGAAUUUUCUUAUUGGCAAGAAAAUGUCAAGCUCUAUAAAAAAAUGUUUUAUUAAAAGGAGAUGCAAAUGAGCAUGCAGUUACCUUCGCAAAAAUGAUUGUGAAGAAGAAGAACUCCUACAACGAAAAGGAGAAAGCAAUGGCAUUGAACUUAAAUUAUAUGUGGACUAAGGCCUAUAAUUUUAUGCGCGACGACUUGGGGUUUGCAUUGCCCCACAAAAAAACACGUUUGCGUUGGCGUCCGAUCCGGUAUGUCUGCCCCGGUAUCGACGAAAAAGUCUUGAACAAUUUAAAAAAAAACAUUGUUCAAGACUUUAAACCAGAAGAACGCAUAUGCCAACUAAUUUUCGACGAAGUCUCAAUCAGAACAGAUCCGACGUACAACAAAGUACGAGAUGUGAUUGAUGGCUUCGUCGAUAAUGGAGAAGGUCACCGGGAAAGCGUGAUCGGCAAUAAGUGUUGCUUUUUCAUGUUGAAAGGCCUAGUCACGAAAUGGAAAUAUAUGUACAUAUACAUAUGUAAUUUCCUACUAUGUGGCAAAAGAUGGCGUAAGUGAAAGAUUGCUAAAUUUGCUCCAGAGCAAUUUAAACGCCUCUGAAGAAAUCAGACUUAAAAUUAAAACAAUCAUAUGCGAUCAGGGUCCCCAAAAUGCCAGAUUGAGGCUAAUAUUGGGAGCAUUGCCAGAAAAACCCUAUUUUUUCCACAACAAAAAUAAAAUUUAUAUGAUGUUCGACUAUUGCCAUCUUAUAAAAUGCAUGCGCAACAUGAUCAUGAAAUACGACACCGAAACGCAAGAUGGACUGGCAUCGUUUCAAAAAAAUAUAUGCCAUCGACCAAGCGAACGUUUAUUUUAAAAUGUGCCCUAAAUUAACGUAUUCGCAUGUGUAUCCCUCAGACAUGGAAAAAAUGUCGGUGUCUAGAGCUACACAAAUAUUCAGUAAUUCGGUCGCCGCGGCAAUAGACGUGACAAUAAAGGAAAAUUUAUUGGGCUCCGAUGAGCAUUUGAAAAAAUGCGCCGAAGCAACCCAGCUGCUAGUCAAAAGGAUGAAUGACCUGUUCGACGAAUUGGAUUGUAAGACGCUUUACAAUCCAAAUUCGCAAAGACGGCCAAUACAAAGAGAUUGUAUUGAUAAAAUAAACAGGCUAAAAGAUCACAUCCUAUACUUAAAAAAUAUAAUAAAGCCAACAAAUAUUGUGCCUCGAUUCUUUUGUUUUUACAAUAAAUGCAAUGAUUGCAUUGAGCGGCGAUAUAUUCGAUGAAUAUUCGAAUAUAUCAUUUAUACUCUUAGGGAGAAUGAACCAGGAUGCACUGGAAAACUUUUUUUAUAGGAUUCGCGCAAGUUUGGGAGCGAACAAUCAUCCAUCCGCACACAAAAUAAAAUAUACAAUUGUUGCAAGGCUAUUGUCCAUGCAUAUAUUGCGACGCAAAUUCUCGCAAACAGGCAGCAAUUGCGAAGAAGACGACGACAUCAACCUUGAUUGGAAUAUUGGCCAAGAAGAUGACCUUAAAGAAAAAUUAAAACCGUCUGAGCAACUUGCCGCGGAACAAAUAUAUGUACAUAUGUUCCAGAUGAGCAAUUUGCUGAGACCGAAAAAGUAGCAUAAAAACAGGUUCGUCGUUACUAUACUGGAUAUGCGAUAUACCAGAAGGUCUUUUGUCGCUUAAAGUGCGAGAAAUGUGCCCUAUUAAUGCGAAAGAGGGAUAUCUCUUUACAAGACUCAUCGGAAGCCCUUAUAAGGUCAAAAAAUUACAAAGGAGACAAUGACCUAAGGCUGGUUAAUCCCGAUGAUAGAGUCUUCGAAAUAAGCCGCCUUCAAAUGAGCUGCUAUGAAGAACUCUUUACAGAAAAUUCAUGCAGAGUGGGUAUAAAAUCAAUGAUUUUAGCCCAGAUUACUGCAAUUACAAAACAAAAAUACCCAGAAUGGUAAAGCGAGGCUGGAGAUUGCCUGGAACAUAGACACCAAUUUUUAGAUUUCUUCAUCACAGUUUUACUGUUUAAAAAUGCGAAAUGGCUGGCACACCAACAGGAAAAGCUUUUCAAAAAUGAAGUGAGGGCGAGAUACUAUGUAUAAUAAAAUACAAAAAUUAAAGAAACCGGUAACGUAGAUUGUAUUCCAUAUUUAAUUAUUCUAGCAACUUCCGUUUUAUAAAAGAUUUUUCAAUAACUAAUAAUUUUCUGUUUAUUUCUUUCAGGGUGGAAUUAAGUUGUAAAUAGUUUGUAGUAUUAGUUUUAGUAUUAGUUAUUGUUAGUUAGUUUUAGUAUUUAUUAAUGUAGUAAGUAGUACGUACACGUGAGCCAAGCUUUGAAAAAAGCUGGUGAAAAAGACCUAAUCUUUAUUGAUUAGGUUGUGUGAGAAUUUGUGGUUGUAGGUAGACAAAUUCUGAAAGCCGUGUUUUAUUACAAUUAUAUUCUCUUAAUGAGCUUAUACAUAUACAUAUGAAUGUAUAUUUCUAAUAAAAUGAAUUUUCUUUUUAUUUUUAAUUGCAGUUU